CCUACGGGAGGCAGCAGUGGGGAAUUUUGGACAAUGGGCGCAAGCCUGAUCCAGCCAUGCCGCGUGUCUGAAGAAGGCCUUCGGGUUGUAAAGGACUUUUGUCAGGGAAGAAAAGGGGCAUGUUAAUACCGUGCUCUGAUGACGGUACCUGAAGAAUAAGCACCGGCUAACUACGUGCCAGCAGCCGCGGUAAUACGUAGGGUGCGAGCGUUAAUCGGAAUUACUGGGCGUAAAGCGGGCGCAGACGGUUACUUAAGCGGGAUGUGAAAUCCCCGGGCUCAACCCGGGAACUGCGUUCCGAACUGGGUGGCUAGAGUGUGUCAGAGGGGGGUAGAAUUCCACGUGUAGCAGUGAAAUGCGUAGAGAUGUGGAGGAAUACCGAUGGCGAAGGCAGCCCCCUGGGAUAACACUGACGUUCAUGCCCGAAAGCGUGGGUAGCAAACAGGAUUAGAUACCCGAGUAGUC
rnacentral:rRNA from 1 species